rnacentral:rRNA from 1 species
AGAUGCGAUCAUACCAGCACUAAAGCACCGGAUGCCAUCAGAACUCCGAAGUUAAGCGUGCUUGGGCGAGACUAGUACUAGGAUGGGUGACCUCCUGGGAAGUCCUCGUGUUGCAUUCC